CAACAAGAGGAUAUCCAGCAACGAAUAAAAAGAGUACGGAUCCAGCCACGUGCGUCCAGCCUUUAAUACCAGUUAGAUAAAAAUAAAUAAUUUUUUUUUCUCGUUUGGUUUUACGUUGUUCUUUGUAGUUAUACGAAAUCAAAAUAGAAUUAUCUCUUUUUUUUUGAAAACAUAGGUUUUAUUUCCCCUUACUUUCCGUUAUCCUUUUGCUUUCUGCGAUCGUUUUACAUAAUCAAUAAAGUUUUAAAAACAUCUUCCGAGGGAUUUCCGUUUUUUUUUUGUUUGUUCGCCAACCUCGUGUGUUUUGCCAACUAUCUUCUUUACAGUGUGUUCUGAAUCAUACAUGCUUCUCUUCUUCUUUGCGCAACAACACACACAGACCCCCACCACAACGCUUCUCGUGAAAUAGCUUUGCAGCACAAAAGUAAUAUUAGCGCAA